rnacentral:lncRNA from 10 species
ACAAAAUUCCCAAACUAAGAGCUACCAGUCUCUAUGAAUCUAAGAUACUCCCAUGUCUUGGCCUUAUACAAUCGCAUAUUCAUCUCUGGUUCUCCAUCCAAAUUGCCCACUCCUUCUUCUUCAACAUGCUUGGAACUUUCAAGACUUUGUACCUUUGGUUAUACUGUAUUAUCAGGCUGGAUUGUUAUUUCUUAUCUGCUGAAAUUCCUUUUACUGUGAGAGGCCAUAUUGAGCCGUGUUUAAGAACAUGGACUAACGGGUCCAGUCUACCUGGGUUCAAAUCCUAGAUCCCUUGCAUAAUACAUCUGUGACCUUGGAAAACUUACUUAACAUCUCCAGGCCUCAGAGUCAGUGAGGGUACAAUGGGAACAAGAAAACACUUAUCUUCCAGGGUUACAAAGAUGAAAGGAAUUCGCAUGCGUAAAGUUAUAAUAAUGUACCUAUAACCGUGUAUGGAAUGAAGUGAGUGCUGCCUGGAAUAUUAGUUGCUAUCAUCGUCAGACUCAUCAUCAAUAUCAUCAACAAUAGUUUCUUCAAGAAUUCUCCAUAAAUGCUUUCCCCUGUCAUUUGUCACUGUCUGCUCUUUCCUUAGUCUUCUGCCAACACUUUUCUUGUAUCUUUAUUAUA